rnacentral:rRNA from 1 species
UACGUAGGUGGCAAGCGUUGUCCGGAUUUACUGGGCGUAAAGAGCGCGCAGGCGGUUAUUCAAGUCGAAUGUGAAAGCCCCCGGCUCAAAUGGGGAGGGUCACGCGAUACUGAUCGACUCGAAGGCAGGAGAGGGUAGUGGAAUUCCCGGUGUAGUGGUGAAAUGCGUAGAUAUCGGGAGGAACACCAGUGGCGAAGGCGACUACCUGGCCUGUUUCUUGACGCUGAGGCGCGAAAGCUAGGGGAGCAAACGGG